rnacentral:misc_RNA from 1 species
AAAGAGAAGACAGAACAACUUGAGGUAAUUCACAAAAAAAUUAACUUGGUAUAUUCAUUUACCAAAUUGACUGAUAAAUCUUUUUUAUUAGGAAGAGUACAUUUUCAUUCUUGUAUAUAAUUGAUGUUUUAGUUGUUAUGUUUCAAGGAGAUAUUUUCCUUCCCUCCUCUGUUCCACCUCCAUCCUUUAGACUGCAGUGACUCUCUCUGUCUGUGUGGUCUGUCCAAGCAUUAUCUACUUUCCUAUUGUUUGUAUUUAACAAAUCCCAUAUUGGAUCAAAUUAUAUGCAUGAUUCUUAUCUUAAAAAAUUCUAAAAUUUUUCCAGUUAGAAAGAAUGCUUCAUCUGACUGUUACGGUUCUUCAUUCUAGUUUGUGGAUGUAAUUUCUAAAACUUAAUUGUUUAUUCCCAGUUUCUACUGUAAGCUAUCUGCCAAGGUUUUUAGAUACAUCUAAUAAGCUAAGGCAGUCAGGUUUUUGAUUGUACUCUCAUACAGAAUAAAAUGGUCAGUAUCUUUCUUUGGCAAGUGGGAUUUGAACCUAAGCCUUACCUCUACUUUGGCCUUUAUCCCUUACCACCUGAGUCAAGGUUCUGGGGUUCCAAUUCUUUUUAAUUCAAGUUCAAAAUCUAUUUUUAAUGGUUUUUAAUAGUGCACCAAAGCCUCUUGUCUACUGCUUUUUUUUUUCAGUUAGACAAACUACUGAAUGCAAUCAUAAUGUGCUCUCGAUUUAAAAGGUAAAUACCAGGAAAUAAAUGGCAAAUAUAAAACCUGUGUAGGGUUUUCCAUUGAACUUAUAUGACAUGAAAUUGUAUGUCUUGUUGAAACAAUCAAAGCCUUUUGUGAAGCAAAUCAUCCAAUUGUAUAGAGGAAUUUCAGAUACACGUCAAUAACAUUUUGCAAUUGAGAAUUGAAUGUAGCUUCCCACUACUUCAACCUUGUAAGUUAAUGUUCUAGACUUCUAACAUGUUUCUUAAUGUUCAUUCAAAAACUCAACAUCAUGGUUUGUACUCAUUCAACAGAGAAAUUUAAUUGGAUUGGUAGUUUGGGAUGAUCGGAGAAUAUGUGCCUUUUGAUUUUGAUAGCAUUCAAUUCAGCAUUAUCAAAAAGCUGGGACAAAUGUGUACUUACAGAGUUAUACGUAACAGAGAAGUGUAUUAAUGUGAACAGAGUUCUUAGGCCCCUUUCAUGAAAUGAUGAGAUGAGUUAACCAUAAGAAAUAUUUAUUUAUUAUGUCAGUACUUCAAGUUCAUCAUUGAGGUCCAUUAAUGCUAAAAUUAUAACAGAUGGCAAUUUUUUAGCUCAAUUGAGUGAUUACCGAUGCAUCUAUGGACUAUGAUAUAAAAUCUGUUCUUCUAACAACGUAGUUACUUUUCCAUGAGUCUCCAACUUGAACUUUAUAUAUGUGCUUGUCUGUUAUACAUAAAAUUUUAAAGUCAACUUGAAUUUUUCCUUGGAAUUGAAUUUUGGAUUAUGGCUUAUUUCUACUUGAUAUUCAUCCUUUAAUUCUUGAUACUUUUUAAAAGCAGAUGACAGACAUGGAUGAAGCUA